ACCUUCCGGGCUGGCGUGAUCGAUGUUGGCGGGCUAGAGCCCUGACAGGAAGACGGCAGAAGGAUUAAAGACUCCAGAGACUAGAGAGCAAAGAAGUUUGAAGCCUGUUGCUUUAUUUCCCUGGGCACCAUAUUCAGGGGCUCUAGCUUCUGCUCACCAACAGGAGAAGUCAGCGACAGUGUAUCCGACAUGCACCAGACCUGGAACCUGGGUGUGAGCUUGUUUCUGCUACUUCUUAGCUGUGUGGAUCUGGUUAAGUCACCCAAAAACUCCCUGAGCCUCAGUCUCCUCAUAAGUAAAUGGAAAUAAUACCAUACAAAGCAUAUUAAAAAUCCUGAUGGCGAUGAUGACGUA